rnacentral:rRNA from 1 species
UACGUAGGGUGCGAGCGUUAAUCGGAAUUACUGGGCGUAAAGCGUGCGCAGGCGGUUGGCAAAGUCAGCUGUGAAAGCCCCCGGGCUCAACCUGGGAAUUGCGGUUGAAACUAGUCGACUAGAAUCUGGCAGAGGGGGGUGGAAUUCCACGGUGUAGCAGUGAAAUGCGUAGAGAUGUGGAGGAACACCGAUGGCGAAGGCAGCCCCCUGGGCU